rnacentral:rRNA from 1 species
UACGUAGGGACCGAGCGUUGUCCGGAUUCAUUGGGCGUAAAGAGCUCGUAGGCGGCCACUCAAGUCGAAUGUGAAACCUCGAGGCUUAACCUCGAGCCUGCAUUCGAUACUGGGCGGCUAGAGUCUGGUAGGGGGAUCUGGAAUUCCUGGUGUAGCGGUGGAAUGCGCAGAUAUCAGGAGGAACACCGGUGGCGAAGGCGGGUCUCUGGGCAGUAACUGACGCUGAGGCGCGAAAGCGUGGGGAGCAAACAGG